UCCGGCUUAACGCCGGCAGUCUCCCUAGAGUGCCCAACUUAAUGGUGGCAACUAAGGACGAGGGUUGCGCUCGUUGCGGGACUUAACCCAACACCUCACGGCACGAGCUGACGACAGCCAUGCAGCACCUGUGUUCCCGCCAGCCGAACUGAAGAGCUACAUCUCUGUUGCUCAUACGGGACAUGUCAAAGGUUGGUAAGGUUCUGCGCGUUGCUUCGAAUUGAACCACAUGCUCCACCGCUUGUGCGGGCCCCCGUCAAUUCCUUUGAGUUUCAGCCUUGCGGCCGUACUCCCCAGGCGGAGUGCUUAAUGGGUUGCCUUCGGCACUGAGGACGUGUAAAGUCCCCAACACCUAGCACUCAUCGUUUACGGCGUGGACUAC
rnacentral:misc_RNA from 1 species